AACGAACGCUGGCGGCAUGCCUAACACAUGCAAGUCGAACGAGACCUCCGGGUUUUGUGGCGCACGGGUGCGUAAGGCGGGGGAACCUGCACUUAGGUUACGAACAACUCACCGUAAGGGGUGUUAAUACCGGUUAAUCUCUUCGGACCAAGGAUCUAUGGCGUUUGGCUGGGCCCGGGUUGGCUUGGCGGGUUGGUAGGGUAAAAGCCUACCAAGGCGUCGUUCCAUAGCUGGUCGGUGAGGAGGCUCCGCCACACUGGGACUGAGACACGGCCCAGACUCCUACGGGAGGGAGGAGUGGGGAAUAUUGUACGAGGGGCGAAAGCCUGGUCCAGCAAUGCCGGGUAAGUGAUGAAGGCCUUAGGGUUGUGAAGCUCUUUUACCCGAGAUGAUAAUGACGGUACCGGGAGAAUAAGCACCGGCUAACUACGUG
rnacentral:rRNA from 1 species